AAGGUUAUACUUUACAGGAUCAUUUUUGUAGUUGGCCUACAUUUACAUUUUUUGGAAAUCGACCCGCGAUGAUGAGGUAUGUAUAUCGUUUUAUCUGGCAUCGUGAGGUUUAUGAACUUAAUUUCUAAUUUUGUCUUGUGGCAUAUUAGAAAUGAUGUUUCUUCGUAAAUCGCUCACUUACAACGGAUAAAACGACUUCUGAGUGGU